rnacentral:rRNA from 1 species
UACGUAGGGCGCGAGCGUUAAUCGGAAUUACUGGGCGUAAAGCGCGCGCAGGCGGCCCUGCGCGCUGCCGGUGAAAGCUCCCGGCUCACCUGGGAGAGGUUCGGCAGGACGGCAGGGCUGGAGGGCGGUAGAGGGUGGUGGAAUUCCCGGUGUAGUGGUGAAAUGCGUAGAGAUCGGGAGGAACACCCGUAGCGAAGGCGGCCACCUGGGCCGACCCUGACGCUGAGGCGCGAAGGCCAGGGGAGCGAACGGG